AUACUUACCUGCAGGGGAGAUACCAUGAUCACGAAGGUGGUUUCCCCAGGGUGAGGCUUACCCAUUGCACUCCGGAUGUGCUGACCCCUACGAUUUCCCCAAAUGUGGGAAACUCAACUGCAUAAUUUGUGGUAGUGGGGGACUGCGUUCGUGCUCUCCCCUA
rnacentral:snRNA from 1 species